AGUGACAAUGAAGACUGAGGUGUCUGCUUUGCAGUUUUUUUUUUUCUUUUCUUGUCUUUUUUUUUUUUUUUCCUAAUCAUGUGGACAUCUCUGAGAAUGAGGGGACUGGGUGACUUUGCAGUGUCUGCUUUCUAAGUUUCAAAGUGACUUUCCAGGCAAGCUGCGCAUAUCUUGGGAUCUUCACAGCACAGUGGCUGGGAAGGCAGGCGGACCCGUCUAUCAGCUUCUCCCUGUUUGAAGGUCCGACUCAUCAUGGCAGGACUUGGCGUUGGGUCAGAUGCCCUGUGGCUGUGUCAUGUGGAAUGCGAGGCUGCCUGCUCAUAUCUCAGCAGAUCCAGAGGGGACAAAGAAGAAGGCCACACCCACACGACUUCAGAAGACUACCAAAGCAAACCAGAGGACCAGAGAACAGCAGCUGCUCUGGACAAAGAGGGGAGGACACCCACACCCACAUACCAAGUUCUGGUUGACUUCUACAGCAGAAGAAGCAGGAGACACAAGAAGUCUCCUCAGAAGAACAUUGACCAGCACGCCUGCAUCCUUUCUGUUCUGACACACUUGUUACCUGGAUGACUUCUUUCUCAUCACCCACGUGCCAAGAGUGCCAUGUCUCAUCUGGACCAGAGACUCUGAGGAUCACACCAACAGAGACACAAAUGACACUUAAAGAAAGCCACAUCAGCUUUUACAACUUACCCCCCAAUACCGAAUGUCAUCAACUCAAUUUAAAUCAUUGGAUGGUUCUGUUCUCAGGGCCAGAGAGUUUCACUAAACUUCGUCGAACCCUUCGGUAUAACUGUCAACUGUGCAGAGUGUGCUUGGUGUCUGGAUUCUCAGCCUUCAGUGUAAUCAUGUUUACAUCCCCAGGUGUCAGAAAAUUCCCCCUGACCCUUAACCCCCAACCCUUAGCAUGUUGGUGUCUUAGCUUUUACAAUGUCAUUGCUGGACUUGACUGCUUUUCACAAAGGUAGCUGCCCAACUAGCCAUGCCCCAACCAGUACAUUCUUCUUGGUUGCAUUCUUAAAUUCUCAGACUUUUUCUUAACAAAUGUGACAACUGAAUGUUUAUUGGUGUUGGUUUGGACUUCAUUUAAUCCUGUUAAAACCAGUUUGUGUCAGUCACAAUCUGGUGGUUCAUUGAUUGUCCUUCUCUGAAUCCGCUCACCAUCACAUUUGACACCUAGGCUUUCAUUUUUUCCCCCUGAGUCAGGGUUUUUCUGUGUAGCCCUGGGUGUCCCAGAACCUGCUCUGUAGACCAGGUGAACUCAGAGAUUCACCUGCCUCUGCCUUCCAAGUGCUAGAAUUCAAGGUGUGCACCACUACCCUGAGCUUUCUACAUUUUUAUGUCUUUGAAUAUCAAGUUUGCAGUGAGAAAACUGAGGCUCAGGGUGGUGGAGUCACGUGACCAAAGUCUCAAGACUCCAGAGGGGAGCUGAGCUGAGUGGUGAUAAGGGCCUGUGCUUCUGAAACCAGGGCACAUGGCCAGAGCAGAGUAGCAGUCGACAGUGACAAGGACACUAGUGUCACACCCAACAGUCCACUAUGAAGUCACAUACCUGACUCAUGACACCCUAGCAAUACCACCAGCCAAUCCACUUCCUAACAUCUAAGGAUCUCCAAGGACUCCAGCAAAUGGUGGUUUGGGGAGACCAAGGUCCCUAGCACAGAUCUAAGAGUCUCCAUUGUGGAACUUCAAAGUGUUCAGGGUUCUAUCCGGGCAUCCGUUUGACUGGGAAUCCUUUUUUACACUGCUCCAUAUUUGUCCAUUUCAAAAAUGAGAAUAUACUUUGUUCACUGCCUUGAUGAAAUUGAUUUCAGUUUAAUCAGUUGCACCCUGUUUAAUAGACCUGUUAUAAAAGAUGUGCAUUUGUGUCUAUCAAA
rnacentral:lncRNA from 1 species